UACUCCAAGGAGGAUAUUCAAAUGCUGCAGAUUAAGAUGAAGAAUAAUGUGGACGAUUUUUCAGAUAAACGGGGAAUACAUCAUAAUAUAUCAUGGAAAAUUAGCGCAGAGACACUUGAAAAAAUUCGAGAACACAUUAGGCCAUUCCCUUUCCAAGAAAGUCACUAUAGCUGGAAAAAAUCAUCUAAAGAGUGUCUUAAUCCCGACUUAAAUAUAUCGAAAAUGUAUGAACUUUUUGGUAAAAAAUAUCCCGAAAUCAAAUUAUCAGUACGUGCCUAUGACCACGUAUUUAAAACCGAUUUAAAUUUGAGGUUUGGAUUACCUCGGUCUGAUACAUGCACAGUGUGUGACAAAUUCUUUAUAGAUCUCUCUGCAGCACAUAACGAAGAAGGAAGGAAUUUGAUUGCAGUGGAAUGUGAAGCUCAUCAAAUAAAAGCUGAAAGUGGAUAUGCUACGCUAAGGGCUGAUUCUGCCUUGGCCAAAGAAAAUCCAAAAUAUAUUGUCAUCUGUACCGAUUUGCAACAAGUGCUAUAUUAUCCAACUCUAAAUCGCUCUUCAGUAUUUUAUCAAAGACAAUACUCCGAUUAUAAUUCUGCUAUUCAUAAUAUGGGUACAAAUAAAGUCACGAUAUCUGUUUGGCAUGGAACUGUAGCAAAACGGGAGUCUGCAGAAAUCGCUUCAUGUCUUUUGAAUUAUACAGUCAGAACCUUUGAUCCGCUUGAUGAUAAUGAGGAAAGAUAUCUCAUAUUUUGGUCAGAUCGACUUUUCUCCAUGGGAAACUACUACAAGAAGAGACCCUAAGUUAAAAAUUACACAUGCUGCCUGGUUAAGAAUCACGAAAGAAGAUCCUACAGCCAUCCAAGUGCGAACUAAGCACCAGCCUUCAGAAGAAUGUGAAACUUUCUCCUUGAUAGUGCAAAAAGAAGGAGCUGUAGUAGAACAUCCUUCACUUUUGAAAAACCGCAUGCUAUCUCAACUUUACCUUGCUCCUAUACCCAUUUCUUUUGAGAAA